rnacentral:tRNA from 1 species
GGGCGAUUAACUCAGUGGUAGAGUGCCACUUUCACACGGUGGAAGCCACAAGUUCGAAUCUUGUAUCGCCCACCA